AACGAACGCUGGCGGCAUGCCUAACACAUGCAAGUCGAACGAAGUCUUCGGACUUAGUGGCGCACGGGUGCGUAACGCGUGGGAAUCUGCCCUUGGGUACGGAAUAACUCAGAGAAAUUUGUGCUAAUACCGUAUAAUGUCUUCGGACCAAAGAUUUAUCGCCCAAGGAUGAGCCCGCGUAAGAUUAGCUAGUUGGUGGGGUAAAAGCCUACCAAGGCGACGAUCUUUAGCUGGUCUGGGAGGAUGAUCAGCCACACUGGGACUGAGACACGGCCCAGACUCCUACGGGAAGCAGCAGUGGGGAAUAUUGGACAAUGGGCGAAAGCCUGAUCCAGCAAUGCCGCGUGAGUGAUGAAGGCCCUAGGGUUGUAAAGCUCUUUUACCAGGGAUGAUAAUGACAGUACCUGGAGAAUAAGCUCCGGCUAACUCCGUG
rnacentral:rRNA from 1 species